GGGCCGUUAGCUCAAUUGGGAGAGCGCCUGCUUUGCACGCAGGAGGUAGCGAGUUCAAAUCUCGCACGGUCCA
rnacentral:tRNA from 1 species